UUAGCUCUGACCCCUUGAAGCAGUGAAUGCCACAGGAUGGCUAUAGCCUUUGUGAAGUAUUUCCCUUGGUUGGUUCUAAAUUGGUGGAGAGUUAACUAAAUGGAGUGUCCCAGGGUUCUCAUAUUAUCAGACAUCAUCCAUGAGAUGCACUGGUUGACUGAUUGUUAAUGGAAUACAGAAUCAUUCACCUCUAGGUUAUUGUUUCAUAUCCAGCCUAGGUCAGUGGAGACUAAAAGUUCUUGCCAGGUGCUGGCUGUUCAGUGGCCUUUGUGAAACGAGUUCGGAGAAGGGGGGUUCGGUCUCAGUCCAAUUGCAAUGGAAACAAAUGUUCACAUAGUAAAAGCCACUGCCACAACUGGAUUAAUUAGCUGCCUCAGCAGAGAGGACUGACUGGGAGUGAAGAAUGAGGAACCCCUCUCGCUUCUGGAAUUGAUCCCUCCUGGUCAGAGGAGAGGCACAUGGACCCAAUGCAGAGAGUGAACUGGAGUCUGUUCUGACUCACACACCAUCCACAGAGUUGUUAACUAAUGUUCCUGCUGUAGAAUCAUUAUCACUGGUUGCCAGCGCCCCAGGAAGACCCCAACUGCACUCCCGGACAAUGACAUGCAAGAUAACUGGAAAAAUGUAAACCUGGAAGCGGACAGAUCUAGGGUUAAGUGCAGCAUGAGGGAAUACACAAACUCAGGAAACAAGAUGGUAAACAGCUUGGGGGUCAGAAAGAGGUGAUGAGGACAGGUUCAUCCAAUGGUCACAAGAUAGUUUCUAAACAUAAGCAGGCCUGACUGUUUGUCGUUCACAAUAAGGACUCUACACCACAUGUAGAAUAAAAGGAACUUUAAGUCUUAGAAUUGGAUCAGAUUCUCAGCUGCCAUAAAUCAGCAAAGCUUAAACUAAGUCAGUGGAGCAACCCCUAUAUACACCAGCUGAGAAUCUGACCCUACUGAGUCACGUUCAGGUCACUUUGAAAUAAUGGCCCUUGUGCAAUCUGAUUCUCACUGCAGUAGAAAGAGAGAAUCUGGAGCAAGUCUGCCUGGUGCAAGGCCUGAGGGCUGAACCAAAGUCAGCAAAAGUUAUGCAAUGAGCAAAAGUCAGGCCCUGUCAGAAAAGCAGAUGC